rnacentral:lncRNA from 1 species
CGGUACGAACGCAGACUUCAAAAAGGAACUGGCCAGAUUAUGUGCACCAACUGUCGACGCCUUCACACUGCAGAACUUGGACCUGAAAACACCAGAUAAGUUCGACAACAACUACUACAAGAACCUGCGAAGAGGCGAGGGCAUUAUCCGAAGCGACCAGGUUCUGUGGAGCUCCGAAGGCACUCAUCAAAAAAUCACAAAGGACUUCGCAGAGAACCAGGAGAACUUCUUCCGCCAGUUCAUAGAGAGUAGCAUCAAGAUGGGUAAGAUCAAGCCACCCCCAGGGAGUCCUAGUGAGAUCCGGUUGAACUGCCACCAGGCCAAUCCCCGGCCCCUCAUCGAGCAGGUUGUGGCUGUCGAGUGAUUUGCUUGCUUCGACAUGUGGACAAUCGGCGGCUUCAUCACGUUCUGGAAGGCCGUCGAAAACGAGUUCUGCCCUCUGCGAACAAGAUUGAAAGAUGGUAGUGGAAUGAAUUGGUGAAGUUUGUCAUUCCAUUUCGAGGGCCAGGAGAGCAAUUUGCAACAGUAUAAAC